rnacentral:tRNA from 1 species
AGAACAGUAGCUCAGUUGGUAGAGCAAGGUAAGUCAGUAUAAUGAUUACCAAUUGGUCAAUGUUUACUUACUUCAAAUUUGUAAGCCUUCGGGAAUACUGGUUCAAAUCCAGUAGUUUUCAGAUUACCAAUGGUCAAUUUAUACUUACUUCACUCAUUUAAAUACUUGAGUCGUGGGUUCGAAUCCCACCUGUUCUG